GGACACAAAACUGUUUUAAUAAGAUGUCACAGGCACAGAGGAUAGUGCUGAACUCCGAGUCCUACAACAUCACUUUCCCAUACUAUCUCAUAGUAUAGAAGAUGUGAAGUCUCACAACCUAUGAACCAACGGUUAACCAGAUUUCACUGAAGCUGCCCUGGCUGCCAGAGUUCUCAGAAGAUGCCAUUCCUGGGGAACUUUCCACUCUAGCAGCAGCAGCGAGCAGAGCAGAAGCCUGUGCAGACAUCACUGAUGCUUCCUGCCCCAGCCAGGAGGACACAGUGGGCUAAUUGCCCUGACUACAUCUUCCACUACAAUGUUGAAAAGAAGCGGCAAGAAUGGACAUCCUUGUGUUGUUUCCACUCUUAGGGAAAGUAUUGCCCCUUCAGAGAACUUGUAAUGUUACAUGAGUUUUAUAUGGAUGCUU